GCCGGAGGCAAUAGACUGUCAGGCAUGCUGAGUCUUCCGGGCCUGUGGUUUCCUCGCCUCCGACCCGGGUGGAGAGUUAGUGAGGGAGGAUCUGGCAUAUACCACGCCGCCGGCCCCGGGCUCCACAUGAGCCGACCAUCUGUGCCCACGGUUCCGGUUCCAUGGCUGGCCGAUAACGGGAUGACUGGUAAGUGUGGUGAGUCCAGGUGUUGGGCUUCGGUAUGAGGAGUGCCCUCAGGGGCUCAAGGCCCAGGAAGGCCGUCGUGGAGGCCAGAUCCAAGCCUGGGGUGAGGUGUGAUGGGGGUGCCCUCCAGUGUUGUCCCGAGUCGGGGGCGAAUGCUUCCAGUCGCAGUGCUGCCCGGAGAUGGAGAGUGUAGUUGGGCUUUGAGGCCGCCAUCUUGCAGGCAGGGCUCACUUGUUCCGGCGCCUCGUGUUUCGCUGGGGAGUUUGUGGAGGGUCGGCUCCCGCCAGUGGAGACCGGGAUAACCCCCCCGGUCCAAGGGGGGGGAGCGGGGCCUGUGAGGCACGUCACAGGGUCUUGGCUCGGUGAUCAGGUUUGCCGGCAGGGCGGCGGCCGUCCGCCCCUCGGUUCACCCGUGCAGGCCACAGGUCCCGAAGUCUCGUGCCACGUGGUCCCCGAAACUCCCGAUCUCGGAGUCCGCUGCGGCGCCCGCCAGUUCCCGUGCACAUUAGUGGUUUUCUUCUCCCAGUUGUCUGUGGUGAGGCCAUUAUUUCUUCCGUUUUAGGUUAGAAUCAGCAGGAGCCUCUGUAGC